rnacentral:snRNA from 1 species
UUACCCUACUGAUGCCCGCG